GUGGGUAGAUUUUAGCACAUAGAUAAUAUUUUGGGUGAAUCUCCUCGAACUUUUUUAGCACAUAGAUAAUAUUUUGGGUGGGUAGAUUUCAUUUUUUUUUCUUUUUAAUUUGAGUUUGAAUUUAAAUUGAAUCUCUUCCUUCAAUUUAAUCUGGAUAUGAUUUUAUUUUUAAGAGUAUUUAUUUUAAUAUAAUAAUUAUAUUUUAUUAAUCAAAAGUAUUAAUUGAUUGACAUAAUUAUAUUAAUUUUAUUAAAAUAAAUAUAAUUAUAAAAAUUAAGAUAU
rnacentral:lncRNA from 1 species